UUAUACAGUCAUGUCACUCUGCAACUCACAUCUGGCAAUCCACUGAAACUAAGCAGGUGUGAGCUUAGUCAGUACCUGGAUGGGAGACCUCCUGGGAAAAACUAAGAUUGCUGGUGGAA
rnacentral:rRNA from 1 species